rnacentral:rRNA from 1 species
GUCUACGGACAUGCUACCCUGAACAAGCCCGAUCCCGUCUGAUCUCGGAAGUUAACCAGGGUCGGGCCUGGUUAGUACUUGGAUGGGAGACCACCUAAGAAGACCAGGUGCUACAGACA